rnacentral:lncRNA from 1 species
GAGGCCCAACUCCGAGAAAGGGAGUUCAAUUGAAGAAGAGAGGCAUUGAGGAUUGGGAUGAUCCUCUAAAAUGAAAAGAUAUUGAUCAUUCUAAAGAUAAAAUACGAAGGGAAGGAAGAAAGUCAAAGAGAGAGAAGGCAAUGGAGGAAGAGUUGUCACGGCGAAGGAGUUCUAUCACAAGAAGAGUUAGACAAUCUAGUAAAGUAACAAGAAGAAAAGUCAGAAAAGAAGUGGACAGUUGUGGUUUGUCACGAGAAAGAGAAGACGAGGAAGAAGAAGGCAAAACAAAGAGUUUGGCUUCCUGAGAUGAUAAGGUUUACAUCUUGAAAGAAUGUCUAAUAGUCAGGUGACUGUUGGCUUACGUGUCAAGUUGGUUUUGGCUGAAUGGUGCGGCAAGGUGGUAAGACAACAUGUGUAAAGUUAUAAUUGGGACAGGUGGGAAAAAAAAGUAAUCGAUCCAAAGGAUUAGUAUAAAUAGGGGUGAAGGCCUAAUUAAGAGAAGUGUUUUUAUUUGGAGUUUUUGCUCAAAGAGUGUAAUAAGGAGUUGAGUUGCCGCUGAGAAACUUCUAGGCUAGGAGAGACGUUCAGGGAAGAAGGAGAUUAGACAUUGCGUGAGUGAUUUUAAUAACCUAAACACAUCUGCAGAC